UACGUAGGGGGCUAGCGUUGUCCGGAAUCAUUGGGCGUAAAGCGCGUGUAGGCGGUCCGGUAAGUCCGCUGUGAAAGUCAAAGGCUCAACCUUUGAAUGUCAGCGGAUACUGCCAGGCUAGAGUCCGGAAGAGGCGAGUGGAACUCCUGGUGUAGCGGUGGAAUGCGCAGAUAUCAGGAAGAACACCAACGGCGAAGGCAGCUCGCUGGGACGGAACUGACGCUGAGGCGCGAAAGCGUGGGGAGCGAACAGG
rnacentral:rRNA from 1 species